rnacentral:rRNA from 1 species
UACGUAGGGUGCAAGCGUUGUCCGGAAUUAUUGGGCGUAAAGAGCUCGUAGGCGGUUUGUCGCGUCGAAUGUGAAAACCCGGGGCUCAACCCCGGGCCUGCAUUCGAUACGGGCAGACUAGAGUUCGGUAGGGGAGUCUGGAAUUCCUGGUGUAGCGGUGAAAUGCGCAGAUAUCAGGAGGAACACCGGUGGCGAAGGCGGCUCGCUGGGCCAGUUCUGACACUCAUCCGCGAAAGCGUGGGGAGCAAACAGG